UGUAGAAAGUUAAGGUUUUGCCUCCCUCGUUAUGCAAAUGAAGAACCUAGUCGAGAACGUCAGGCAGCAAUAUGCUUUCAGCACAUCUCAUUGAGUGAGGCCAAAGAAGAAAUGCAAAUCAUCUGACCGUUAUGGUUGUAGUCAGUGGCAACCAGUCACUGAAUGACUUUGACAACCAUGAGGAAAAAAAAAGAAAAUCCUGCAAGAUGCCUCAAAAGAAAACCUUCUACCUGAGAGUGACAUUAAAAGAUUAAUGUCUGAAACAUACUACGCCCAGCGCAUCACUCUGAAUAAUGACGACAGUGUAAUCAAAGUCAUGGAAGAAUGGCCUUACCUCUUUAAAUCGACCCAUCUGCUCUACCACACAGAGAAACUGAUGGGAUUUCCUGUCCAAACCAAAUUGCUGAACCAAAUUGAAAAGAAGGGGCAUGACCAUCAUCGAGUUUCUGGUGAACAAGGGAAUCACAGGAGUUACUACAGACCCAUUAAAACUCCUCCAGGGCCUAAUGGAGUACCUUGCAGAAGAGCUAAAGGUGCUGCUACUAAACAAAGAAGUAGGCACACGGAAUAAAUGGCCUCAUAUUUGAGGAUGCCUUAGCAGAGCUGCCAAGCUACCCCGUGUAUCAUAGUUGUGGAUGAAAUAUCAGUGGGCGAAGUCACUGUAAACUACAUGAGCUGUCCACUGGCUGCUGUCAGCUAUGUGUUCAGGCUCUACUAUGUGCUGAACAUCACGUACCCCAAGGGAGCAGCCCUAACUCUGGAGUUCAUCCAGAGGAGCCUGUUGGGUAUAAAUCCAGAAUGUGGGUCUAAAGCAGAAAAAAGGCUCCAAAACAGUACAACAUCCCACCAAAAUGGCUUUGAUUCUUGUCAGACCUGAGUGACUCCAGAAUCCUUGGAAGAUUUAAAGGUCAUUACACACUCUGCUUUGUUACUCACACUGUCUCUCUCUCUUUGUCGAUAUCUUCCUCCCCACCUCUAUCUUUCCAACUCUCUCUCAUUGCAUCUCUGACACACAAGAAACAACCACGGUUGGAAGUGUAAUGCUAGUUUGUAUAAAUAGUAAUAUUUAGUUUUAGUUUUACAGCCAUAGAAGUCGCAUCUGGAAUGGAGAGAAAGGAGAGGGAAGCAGGUGUGUGUGUGUUUGUAUUUUACCUCCACUGACCGACUAGGCACUCAAAACAAUUUUUAAAUAGUUUUUGUUCUUAAUAGUUCAUACAGUUUGUUUGCUGUGUGAUACAUCAAUCAUUUUCAGUACAAAACACAUUAUUUGGCAGUGUAUUGAUUAUUUUUCUGGCUUGAUCUGCCCUCUGUUCCUGAACUGUGUUGCAUUUUGAAUGACCAAUUACCGUGCUGAAAAGAUGUUUAUGGGUGUUUUCAGUUUAUUAAACUCUGGAACGGGUCAUUUUGACCUAAACUAGUCACUCAUCUAAAACAAUUAUUUUAAAAUUGUUUUUUUGAGGGAUGUCCUGAUCAAUUUUUUUUUGCCCCUGAACCCAAUCCAAGUCAUCUGAUAUUGACGAUCUGCCGAUACCGAGUCCUGAUUUAAUGUUUG